GUCCGAUAAGUUGCACUUUAACCCGCUAUCAAUACCCUGCAUUCAGUGAAAAUGCGCUAGAUGGUAAUGGGCACACCAACGCAGGAAGGGUGAAUCGGUGGGUCUUCCUCAAGGUUGGAUUACCUUAUAAAAACAGCCAGUGAAAUAUUUAUUCUACUGGCCCUAAAAGUUAUACAGCAGCCACAUUUCAUAUUAUAUGUUUUUGUUGCC